AUUGAACGCUGGCGGCAUGCCUUACACAUGCCAGUCGAACGGUAACAGGUUAAGCUGACGAGUGGCGAACGGGUGAGUAAUGUAUCGGAACGUGCCCAGUCGUGGGGGAUAACUGCUCGAAAGAGCAGCUAAUACCGCAUACGACCUGGGGGUGAAAGCGGGGGAUCGCAAGACCUCGCGCGAUUGGAGCGGCCGAUAUCAGAUUAGGUAGUUGGUGAGGUAAAGGCUCACCAAGCCGACGAUCUGUAGCUGGUCUGAGAGGACGACCAGCCACACUGGGACUGAGACACGGCCCAGACUCCUACGGGAGGCAGCAGUGGGGAAUUUUGGACAAUGGGCGCAAGCCUGAUCCAGCCAUGCCGCGUGCGGGAAGAAGGCCUUCGGGUUGUAAACCGCUUUUGUCAGGGAAGAAAAGGUUCUGGCUAAUACCUGGGACUCAUGACGGUACCUGAAGAAUAAGCACCGGCUAACUACGUG
rnacentral:rRNA from 1 species